GAACGCUAGCGGCAUGCCUAACACAUGCAAGUCGAACGGCAGCAUGUUACUGGGUAACCAGUAAUGAUGGCGAGUGGCGGACGGGUGAGUAACGCGUAGGAAUCUGCCUCGUAGUGGGGGAUAACCCGGGGAAACUCGGGCUAAUACCGCAUAUUUUCUUCGGAACAAAGGAAGCCUCUAUUUAUAAGCUUUCGCUAUGAGAUGAGCCUGCGUUGGAUUAGCUAGUUGGUGGGGUAAAGGCCUACCAAGGCAACGAUCCAUAGCUGGUCUGAGAGGACGAUCAGCCACACUGGGACUGAGACACGGCC
rnacentral:rRNA from 1 species